rnacentral:rRNA from 1 species
CAGCAGCCGCGGGAAAACGUAGGUGGCAAGCGUUGUCCGGAAUUAUUGGGCGUAAAGGGCUCGCAGGCGGUUUCUUAAGUCUGAUGUGAAAGCCCCCGUCUCAACCGGGGAGGGUCAUUGGAAACUGGGAAACUUGAGUGCAGAAGAGGAGAGUGGAAUUCCACGUGUAGCGGUGAAAUGCGUAGAGAUGUGGAGGAACACCAGUGGCGAAGGCGACUCUCUGGUCUGUAACUGACGCUGAGGAGCGAAAGCGUGGGGAGCGAACAGGAUUAGAUACCCCCGUAGUCCCUGUCUCUUAUAC